rnacentral:rRNA from 1 species
UACGUAGGGUGCGAGCGUUAAUCGGAAUUACUGGGCGUAAAGCGUGCGCAGGCGGUUCGUUAAGUCUGAUGUGAAAGCCCCGGGCUCAACCUGGGAAUGGCAUUGGAGACUGGCGAGCUUGAGUGUGGCAGAGGGGGGUGGAAUUCCGCGUGUAGCAGUGAAAUGCGUAGAGAUGCGGAGGAACACCGAUGGCGAAGGCAGCCCCCUGGGCUGACACUGACGCUCAGGCACGAAAGCGUGGGGAGCAAACAGG